rnacentral:rRNA from 1 species
GAAAGGCCAAUCAAACCCGGUGAUAGCUGGUUCUCCCCGAAAUAUAUUGAGGUAUAGCCUUGCGGAUUGUCUUAUGGAGGUAAAGCUCUGACAGAACUAGGGGUCCUAUCCGACUACCGAAUUCUUUCAAACUCUGAAUACCAUUAAGAUUUACCGCAGGAGUCAGACGGCGGGUGCUAAGGUUCGUCGUCAAAAGGGCAACAGCCCAGACCGACAGCUAAGGCCUCCAAAUGCAUGCUCAGUGGUUAAGGUGGUGGCGUUGUGCAGACACCCAGGACGUUGGCUUAGAAGCAGCCAUCGUUUAAAGAAAGCGUAAUAGCUCACUGGUUCAAUGGCGCUGCGCCGAAAAUGUAACGGGGCUAAGCAUGCUGCCGAAGCUUCGGAUUUGUCUCUGACAACUGGUAGGGGAGCGUUCUCUGCGGGCUGAAGCGGAACCGAAAGGUUUCGUGGACUGCAGAGAAGUGAUUAUGCUGACAUGAGUAACGAUAAAAUAUGUGAAAAACAUAUUCGCCGUAAAUCCAAGGUUUCCUGGGUAAAGGUAAUCUUCCCAGGGUUAGUCGGACCCUAAGGCCAGGCUGAAAGGCGUAGCUGAUGGGAAACGGGUUAAUAAUCCUGUACUUGUGCGAUUGUGCGAAGAAGGGACGCAGGAUGGUAGACAGGCCGGUUUUUGGAAUCCGGUGCAAGUGCGUAGGCGUGCUCCGCAGGCAAAUCCGCGGGGAUGAGCCGAGACACGAGUCCGUGGGCGCAAGCCCUGAAGCUGUUGAGCCACGGCUGCCAAGAAAAGCUUCUAAGUUUAGAUCGCGCGAACCGUACCGCAAACCAACUCAGGUGGAUGGGAUGAAUAAUCCAAGGCGCUCGAGAGAACUCUGGCCAAGGAACUCGGCAAAUUGACCCCGUACCUUCGGAAUAAGGGGUGCUCCCCACGGUGAGACAAAUUCUUGUUCAGCCCCGGGGAGCCGCAGAGAAAUGGUGGUGGCGACUGUUUACUAAAAACAUAGGUCUGUGCGAAGUCCUACAGACGACGUAUACGGACUGACGCCUGCCCGGUGCCGGAAGGUUAAAAGGAGGAGUCAGCGCAAGCGAAGCUCCGAUUUGAAGCCCCGGUAAACGGCGGCCGUAACUAUAACGGUCCUAAGGUAGCGAAAUUCCUUGUCGGGCAAGUUCCGACCUGCACGAAUGGCGUAACGAUCUCCACGCUGUCUCGGCCAGAGACUCGGUGAAAUUGAAGUCGCGGUGAAAAUGCCGUGUACCCGCAGAAAGACGGAAAGACCCUGUGCACCUUUACUAUAGCUUGACAUUGGGUUUUGAACCUGCAUGUGUAGGAUAGGUGGGAGGCUGUGAAAGCUGUACGCCAGUAUGGCCGGAGCCACCCGUGAAAUACCACCCUUGUUUGUUCAGGACCCUAACUCGCAGCUGUAAUCCAGCGCGAAGACAGUGUCUGGUGGGUAGUUUGACUGGGGCGGUCGCCUCCUAAAGAGUAACGGAGGCAUGCAAAGGUUCCCUCAGGCUGAUUGGAAACCAGCCGUUGAGUGCAAGCGCAUAAGGGAGCUUGACUGCAAGAGAGACAUCUCGAACAGAUACGAAAGUAGGUGCUAGUGAUCCGGUGGUCCCGAAUGGAAGGGCCAUCGCUCAUUGGAUAAAAGGUACGCCGGGGAUAACAGGCUGAUCGCAUCCAAGAGUUCACAUCGACGAUGCGGUUUGGCACCUCGAUGUCGGCUCAUCACAUCCUGGGGCUGAA